ACUCCUACGGGAGGCAGCAGUGGGGAAUUUUACGCAAUGGGGGAAACCCUGACGUAGCGACACCGCGUGAGCGAAGAAGCCCUUUGGGGUGUAAAGCUCUGUCAGCUGGAACGAAAACAAUGACGGUACCAGCAGAGGAAGCAUCGGCUAACUACGUGCCAGCAGCCGCGGUAAGACGUAGGAUGCGAGCGUUGUCCGGAUUUAUUGGGCGUAAAGAGUUCGUAGGUGGUUUGUUAAGUUUGGUGUUAAAGAUCGGGGCUCAACCCUGGGACUGCACUGAAUACUGGCAGACUCGAGUGUGGUAGAGGCUAGUGGAAUUCCCAGUGUAGCGGUGAAAUGCGUAGAUAUUGGGAAGAACACCGGUGGCGUAGGCGACUAGCUGGGCCAUAACUGACGCUGAGGAACGAAAGCCAGGGGAGCGAAUGGGAUUAGAAACCCUGGUAGUCCCA
rnacentral:rRNA from 1 species